rnacentral:rRNA from 1 species
AGACGUCUACAUUAGACUACCCGGGUAGUCCCAGCCGUAAACUAUGCGCGUUAGGUGUAUCGGUGACCACGAGUUACCGAGGUGCCGAAGGGAACCGUGAAACGUGCCGCCUGGGAAGUACGGUCGCAAGGCUGAAACUUAAAGGAAUUGGCGGGGAGCACCACAACAGGUGGAGCCUGCGGUUUAAUUGGACUCAACGCCGGGAAGCUCACCGGAUAGGACAGCAGAAUGAUUGCCGGGCUGAAGACCCUGCAUGACUAGCUG